rnacentral:rRNA from 1 species
GACGGAGGGGGCAAGCGUUGUCCGGAAUUACUGGGCGUAAAGCGCUCGUAGGCGGUCGCAUACGGCGGUGGUGAAAGCUCCCGGCUCAACUGGGAGAGGCCCAUCGCAACGGUGUGACUCGAGGGUGGUAGAGGCAGACGGAAUUCCUGGUGUAGCGGUGAAAUGCGUAGAGAUCAGGAGGAACACCCGUGGCGAAGGCGGUCUGCUGGGCCAUGCCUGACGCUGAGGAGCGAAAGCGAGGGGAGCGAAC